rnacentral:sRNA from 1 species
UUCAUUUCUUCGCAUCCUCAAGGAGCAAAGGAGAAUCAAGGGAGCAAAAAUCACAAAGAAGAACCAAGGAGCUAAGAGGCGACUUAAAGGCCCUCUACUUGGGUGAAUCCCUUGUGUAAACAAGGAUGAGCUUUAAGGGACAGAGGCUAAUGAAGGGCAAGACGAAACUGCAGAUGCUUCUGGUUAUCAAUUUUCUAGCAUACAAAUUUCUAAAUCGGAUUGAUGAUUUACCAGAGUAAAAGUGAACACCACUCUGGGGACACGGAGGGAUCCAAAAUGCAGUUUUGCCAUCAUAUUCCAACUGGAAAGCGAUUCCGAUCACUCAGUGAUGCAAAGAAGUGGAUGAAAGCACAUGAAUUAACUUAUGCUCAAUUUGAGUAAUUGCAUACCCAGACUUAAGAGUUCUAAACCCGCACAAAAUAGCACUAGAAGAACAAGGAGAAAAGCAAUUCAGGUUCCCGAUCAUAUGAAGAAUCGAUGGCUCGAAACUUUUCUAUCUGCGGCAGCUGCCAAUCUUCAAAAUUUAUGAAGCUUGAGAAUGAUUCUAAUCUAGUUCAUGGCCCAUUAGAUGUAGAAGGCGCUCUGGUGGGAUCCUCACCUAUAUCAAAGGUUUAGAAGGCCUUUGUCCUAUCUAUUAGACAAUGGACGCCUUUCAUUCCAAUCUUCCUAUUUGUUGUUCGGAAAAAUAGUUGAUAACUAGCAAUGAAUGCCCGCUCAAUGCUGUGGGUUUGAAAGAAGAGUGCAAUAUCUUGAAACAAAUGUAACUGCAAAGGAAAAUAGCAGUUUGCAUCAUUGAAUUGAACUAAAAACAUAGUAAUGCCAUUAAAUCUCUCCUCUCAGAAUUACAUGGUUCGUUGUAAAUAGUAGAAUUCAACUAAAUACUUUCAAUAAGAACAACUGAAGGC